rnacentral:tRNA from 1 species
UAAAAUGGCUGAGCGUCAAGCGGUGGAUUGUAGUCCCAUGACCAGAGGUUAAACUCCUCUUUUUAC